GGCUGAUUAGCUCAGUCGGUUAGAGCGUGGUGCUGAUAACACCAAGGUCACGGGUUCGAUCCCCAUUCGGUCC
rnacentral:tRNA from 1 species